UGUGAGAAUGAUGAGUUGCACCUUCUGUUGAAGCAGCAGUGCAGUGGCACAGCAGCUUCAAUCAGAUCAGUGUUCUGAUGACAGACCAGUGUGCACAGGGGCCAUCUGACUCAUA
ensembl:snoRNA